rnacentral:rRNA from 1 species
GAGUUUGAUCCUGGCUCAGAUUGAGCGCUGGCGGCAUGCCUUACACAUGCAAGUCGAACGGUAACAGGUCUUCGGAUGCUGACGAGUGGCGAACGGGUGAGUAUUACAUCGGAACGUGCCCAGACGUGGGGGAUAACGAGGCGAAAGCUUUGCUAAUACCGCAUACGAUCUAAGGAUGAAAGCAGGGGACCGCAAGGCCUUGCGCGUUUGGAGCGGCCGAUGGCAGAUUAGGUAGUUGGUGGGAUAAAAGCUUACCAAGCCGACGAUCUGUAGCUGGUCUGAGAGGACGACCAGCCACACUGGGACUGAGACACGGCCCAGACUCCUACGGGAGGCAGCAGUGGGAAUUUUGGACAAUGGGCGAAAGCCUGAUCCAGCAA